UGGCCGAUGGUGUAGUGGUAGCACAGGGGUCUUUGAAGCCCUUAGUCUAGGUUCAAUUCCUAGUCGGCCAGCCA
rnacentral:tRNA from 2 species